AACGAACGCUGGCGGCAUGCCUAACACAUGCAAGUCGAACGAGACCUUCGGGUCUAGUGGCGCACGGGUGCGUAACGCGUGGGAACCUGCCCUUAGGUUCGGAAUAAUUCCCCGAAAGGGGUGCUAAUACCGGAUAAUGUCUUCGGACCAAAGAUUUAUCGCCUUUGGAUGGGCCCGCGUUGGAUUAGCUAGUUGGUAGGGUAAAAGCCUACCAAGGCGACGAUCCAUAGCUGGUCUGAGAGGAUGAUCAGCCACACUGGGACUGAGACACGGCCCAGAAUCCUACGGGAGGCAGCAGUGGGGAAUAUUGGACAAUGGGCGAAAGCAUGAUCCAGCAAUGCCGCGUGAGUGAUGAAGGCCUUAGGGUUGUAAAGCUCUUUUACCCGGGAUGAUAAUGACAGUACCGGGAGAAUAAGCUCCGGCUAACUCCGUG
rnacentral:rRNA from 1 species